rnacentral:rRNA from 1 species
UGGGGAAUAUUGGACAAUGGGGGAAACCCUGAUCCAGCAAUGCCGCGUGAGUGAUGAAGGCCUUCGGGUUGUAAAGCUCUUUUGUCAGGGACGAUGAUGACGGUACCUGACGAAUAAGCUCCGGCUAACUUCGUGCCAGCAGCCGCGGUAAUACGAGGGGAGCUAGCGUUGUUCGGAAUUACUGGGCGUAAAGGGCGCGUAGGCGGUACCAUAAGUCAGAUGUGAAAGCCCUGGGCUUAACCUAGGAGGUGCAUUUGAUACUGUGGAACUAGAGAUCGAGAGAGGAAAGUGGAAUUACGAGUGUAGAGGUGAAAUUCGUAGAUAUUCGUAAGAACACCAGUGGCGAAGGCGACUUUCUGGCUCGAUACUGACGCUAAGGCGCGAAAGCGUGGGGAGCAAACAGG